rnacentral:rRNA from 1 species
AUUGAACGCUGGCGGCAGGCCUAACACAUGCAAGUCGAGCGGAUGAAGGGAGCUUGCUCCUGGAUUCAGCGGCGGGCGGGUGAGUAAUGCCUAGGAAUCUGCCUGGUAGUGGGGGAUAACGUCCGGAAACGGGCGCUAAUACCGCAUACGUCCUGAGGGAGAAAGUGGGGGAUCUUCGGACCUCACGCUAUCAGAUGAGCCUAGGUCGGAUUAGCUAGUUGGUGGGGUAAAGGCCUACCAAGGCGACGAUCCGUAACUGGUCUGAGAGGAUGAUCAGUCACACUGGAACUGAGACACGGUCCAGACUCCUACGGGAGGCAGCAGUGGGGAAUAUUGGACAAUGGGCGAAAGCCUGAUCCAGCCAUGCCGCGUGUGUGAAGAAGGUCUUCGGAUUGUAAAACACUUUAAGUUGGGAGGAAGGGCAGUAAGUUAAUGCCUUGCUGUUUUGACGUUACCAACAGAAUAAGCACCGGCUAACUUCGUG